UGUACCAGUGAUGCCGACUGAUGGCGUACGAGUCACGGUCAGUGAAAAUAUGUGUCUUGAAACCCUGAGAUCCAA
ensembl:snoRNA SNORD114-17 small nucleolar RNA, C/D box 114-17